UUCCAAGUGCAAUGAAGGCCACCACCCUAGGCCAUGGGCCUUCCGGAACACCCAUUGACCCCGUCCAGGUAAGUAUGUUGACAUGAAAUUGGAGCUCCUUAUUUAUACACUUAUUGUCUAGUUAUUGCUUUGUUUCUACACCAUGUGGGACUCCAUGCAAUGAAUAGACACGAGGCAGUGUGAGUUCAAUGUGUUCUUUUUUGUUUUGCAUAAGAAAUGAAUUUCUUAUUCAAUUUAUUGCAUGGCAAUGCUGUCAACGUUCAAAGUUUUUCUGAAUCUGAGGCUGAGAGACCGUUGCCUCAACAUAUUAUUUUUGUCACUUAGAAUGAAUUUUGCUCCUCCAAAGAUGCUGCUGCAGUCAAUGAAGAGCGAUUGUCUGCUGAGCUUUCAAUGUUGCAGGAGAGCUUGAAGGGAGGCAUAAAGGCUAUGGAAGUGAGAUUUUAUAGAAUUUGGUCAAUUUCGAUGAAUGAACUUGAAAUGGAAGUUUCUCAAUCAAGGAAGCCUUGGUAUGGUUCUUUCCUCCCUUAUUUUUAUUAAACAAAGUACUCCUGUUAAAUUUUCUUGUUGUGGUUGCCACUUCUGCCUCCUUAGUGUGUCUUCCUCACAAAUAUGUGAGCAAGUUGAUGUUUUUCUGGGUUGCAGACUUCCUGUUAACGUACUAUCUGAGUAUAUAUAUUGCAAUCUGAUAGGUACUGCUGGGGUUAAAAUCCUGUCCUUGCCCUAAAGUAGGUCAUACACAUGACUCCAUAGUAGGAAGUGUACCAAAAUUCAGUUUAUGAAAGCCAUUUCAGCCACCGUUUGGGCUGUCUAGGAAAAACAUCAUUGGCUUAAACAUGCAUGUUCAGUUCAUCUUGGAAGUUAACUAUAACCUUAACCAUUCAAACUGCUUUGACAUGAUGGUUUACGGUUGAAGAUAUUUUAGUUUCCAGUGUAUGUAUAGCUUGCCAUGUUAAUAUGACAAGAACCAGUAGAUACCAUUUAUGAUUAAAAUGUUACUAUUCUUCACACUACGACGGGAAUUUCAGUGGAAUACAUUUAUUGAUGUGGGCAUGUAAACUUACAAUUUGUAAGUUAACAAUGUAUACAGAGCAAACUUGCAUUAAGUGACACCACAUUCAGGCCAUUUUAAUGACCAUCA